rnacentral:rRNA from 1 species
CGAAAGAAAGUAAAUAAGGGCGUAUGGCGGAUGCCUAGGCUCAUGGAGGCGAUGAAGGACGUGAUAAGCUGCGUUAAGCCUUGGGUAGGUGCAAAUAACCUUUAAACCAAGGAUUUCCGAAUGGGACAA